GACGAACGCUGGCGGCGUGCUUAACACAUGCAAGUCGAACGAAGUGGCGAACGGGUGAGUAACGCGUCAUCAAACUGCCCUUACGAGGGGGACAACAGUUGGAAACGACUGCUAAUACCGACUACUUAAGGCGGGGGUUGCGUCUGAUUAGCUAGUUGGAGGGGUCACGGCCCACCAAGGCGAUGAACAGUAGCCGGUCUGAGAGGAUGAACGGCAACAUUGGGACUGAGACACGGCCCAGACUCCGACGGGAGGCAGCAGUGGGGAAUCUUCCGCAAUGGACGAAAGUCUGACGGAGCAACGCCGCGUGAGUGAUGACGGCCUUCGGGUUGUAAAGCUCUGUUAAUCGGGACGCGGUACCGGAAUAGAAAGCCACGGCUAACUACGUGCCAGCAGCCGCGGUAAUAC
rnacentral:rRNA from 1 species